GGAAUGGUCCAGUUUAUUACUGUGUAUGCAUCUCCCCAAAAUGGACGUUGUAUGGAACUUCUCCAGACCCUGCGGGCCCAGCUUUCUACAAUCAGGGCAGUCAUGAUGGGAGAUGAUGCUAACUGUCCGAUGAAGGAAGGGGGAUUCAGCUCACAGAAUGCAGACAAGCUGAAUGUAAACUCCAAAGAAUCCAUGUUCAAAAUGCAAUAAUGAGGCAAAACGGUGGUUCUUUGUUUAACUCAUUUGCAUAUGUCCAC